CAGAGCUCCGGGUGCAGAGAGCUCUGUUUCCACCCAUCUCCCCGCCAUGACACCUGCUCUCUUCACUCCUGACUCUAAUUUCUUCAAGGACCCUCUACCCAAAUUCUGUUCAGGCAUAGCUUCAACGUUCUCCAGCAGCACACACGUAAAGGUUUCUCUCUCGUGAGAAAGUUUAAGGCUUAUGAAAUGCAGGGCCAGGGCCGUGUUAUAGGGAUCGAAUCAAGGUGCCUGCACAUGCGCUGUGCCGCUAAGUGAGCAUCCCUAACCGUUAGCUUUUUGAGACAGGUGUCAACAACAACAACAACAAUCCAAGAGAAUGUUUCUGGUCUGGAAUUAACUGCAAGGGGCUAGCUGUCCUGUCUGCCCAGCGUCUACAUUCAAAUGGAAUCCCAAGCCAGGCUGAUCUCUCUGCCGAAACCUUUGGCAGUCCAGCAACCAUUUGUCUGUUGAUCAGAACAUCCGUUGAUCAAAAGUCUUGUAAUCGAAAGCAGAGUCGUUUGAUUUUUUUUUUCUUUUGAUGGCCAUCUUUACGGUAUCUGGAAUUACCAACAGGGCAAGCCUCGAUGUCUCUGUAGGCUGAUGUUUUCUGUACUGUGUUAGUUAAGAUAGAAAGACUCAUCCUAACUGUGAAUGGCGCCAUCCUAUGGGCUGGCUGGGGUCCUGAGCUGAAUCUCCAUCUGUGUGUGUGUGCUUCCUGACUAUGGAGGCCAUUUGGACUGUGUCCCUUCCCUUCCCCUCCACGAUGGACUAUGUCCCUUGAGCCAUAAUAACCAGAAUAAACUCUUCUGCCUCAAGCUACUUCUUUUCAGGUAUUGGUCACAACUGUGAGAAACCAUACAGACACCCAGGAAAAAGCUGGCCCUCCAAUGCAAAGUCUUGGCCUUGGACUUGGGAUUAUCACUUGGAAUAGCACAGAGGACUUUUCAAACGCAGAUGGAGUAAGAGACACAUUCUUUCUCCUUGGCCUCCAUGUACCUGAUGCCUACCUGGUAUUUUCUGUGAAGACAGAGAACCCAGCAGCACCCCUAGGAGUGUUUUUAACCUGAAGGGCUGCCAGAUGUGUCUGAGGCAGAUGUUGGGAGGGCUCCAGAGAAUGUACCUGCCAACACGAACGUGUCUCUGGAAGGCUUCUGGCUCCCACAGAGUGUGGGUUUUGUGGGUGGUGCUGAGAGAUGUAUCACACACAAGGUGAAACCCGGACUGGACUGGACUUGGCAGUGUUGUUGGGUUCUCUGGAAAGGCUGAUGGGCAGGCUGCCUGGCUGGCAGAAAGGGAGCCUCUGUGGCAUGCAAUGUGGUGUGUGACAGGUAGCAAACCCGUGGGUACAGACAUGCUGAGCGGAUAAUGCCAUCCUUUUUCCGCCCGAAUCUCCAGGCUGUCUGGUGAGAACGGCCUUGACUCCUGCCACUUUAUAAAAAUCUUCGUAUACA